rnacentral:rRNA from 1 species
AUUGAACGCUGGCGGCAGGCCUAACACAUGCAAGUCGAACGAGUGGCGGACGGGUGAGUAAUGUCUGGGAAACUGCCCGAUGGAGGGGGAGAACCACUGGAAACGGUAGCUAAUACAGCAUCUCCUCGGAUGUGCCCAGAUGGGACUAGAGAGUAGGUUGGGUAACGGCUCACCUAGGCGACGAGCCCUAGCUGGUCUGAGAGGAUGACCAGCCACGCUGGAACUGAGACACGGUCCAGACUCCUACGGGAGGCAGCAGUGGGGAAUAUUGCACAAUGGGCGCAAGCCUGAUGCAGCCAUGCCGCGUGUAUGAAGAAGGCCUUCGGGUUGUAAAGUACUUUCAGCGAGGAGGCGUUACUCGCAGAAGAAGCACCGGCUAACUCCGUGCCAGCAGCCGCGGUAAUUC